GUUAAUACUUUAUGUAUAUGUAGUCCUAAAUCCUAGGACCGAGAAAAUAACAAGUAUUGUCCAUACUUAAAGAUAUAAAUGUGGUUUCAAAUGAUGUGUAGUCAUAAAUACCAAAACCGAAAGUGUACAGUAAUAUCUGUACUUAUUGAGAUAAAAAGUGAUUUUAAAAUCGACAUAAAACCCAUUUAAGUUUUAUAAAAAUCCCGUAAACUUUAUGUAUUGUUAUAUCCCUAUGUGAGUCGCUAUAAUCAUACUAUGACUAAAUGAACCUGCCACGACGUUUCUCAGGCGUCGUAAAACUGAAAUGACAUUUGUCACCCGUAGACCUGCAGGUCCCACUGUAGCUAGCAGCAAGGUGUGGGGUGUCAAACCCAAUAUAGAUCUAUACACAACUAUCACGUUCUCCCUCCAGGAGACUCUGAUUAUAACUAACAGGAAUUAUAUCCCGCNACUCUGAUUAUAACUAACAUGAAUUAUAUCCCGCACUCGGACGUACGGAAAGAGAUUGUCUCACAAUUUAGGUUAACAAGUUUACGAGUUGUGUGCGUGAGUGUAAAACCUUUCUGUAUGAAUGUACCCUUUUUGUACGUGUGUGUUAUGUGAUGUAUCAUAAACUAUACCUAUUAUAGUUUUAUCCAAAAUGUUUGUAAUAUAUAAGAACUCUUUUAUGAAAAAGCGUUAGUGUUAUGAAAUCCAUUAAACUAUGCUUAUUAU
rnacentral:lncRNA from 1 species